UACGUAGGGGGCUAGCGUUGUCCGGAAUCAUUGGGCGUAAAGCGCGUGUAGGCGGCUCGAUAAGUCUGUUGUGAAAGCCCAAGGCUCAACCUUGGAACGCCGAUGGAUACUGUCGAGCUAGAGUCCGGAAGAGGCGAGUGGAAUUCCUGGUGUAGCGGUGAAAUGCGCAGAUAUCAGGAGGAACACCAAUGGCGAAGGCAGCUCGCUGGGACGGUACUGACGCUGAGACGCGAAAGCGUGGGGAGCAAACAGG
rnacentral:rRNA from 1 species